CUCAGUCCCCAAAGGCCUCUACUGUACCCCAGACUCUUCGCUCUACACCUCCAAAGACGAUGUUCUGGAUGCAAUUCCCCCAGUUAGCGCUCUUCCUGAAGCUCAGUACAGUGGAUGAAAUUCCCACCCUAGGUCAGAAAUGGAGACCUCCAGACUUGCCUUCAGCCGGCCGAUCUGAGGCUAAAGUCCAGCAGCCAGUUCCUGGCAGAUCUCACACAUACAGUUAUACACUAAGUACUAAGGGCUGUCCUCAGUGAGCCUGACAGCCUGAACUGACCAUGCUAGUGGCAGUGGCGGGAUGGGGAUCUUUGAUGGACAGCUCCUCUUUUAUGAUAGCAAAAUCCCACACUGAUGCUC
rnacentral:lncRNA from 1 species